rnacentral:rRNA from 13 species
UAACGGUCCUAAGGUAGCGAAAUUCCUUGUCGGGUAAGUUCCGACCUGCACGAAUGGUGCAACGAUCUGGACACUGUCUCAGCCAUGAGCUCGGUGAAAUUGUAGUAUCGGUGAAGAUGCCGAUUACCCGCUGUGGGACGAAAAGACCCCGUGAACCUUUACUAUAGCUUUGCACUGGACUUUGAGCUUGCUUGUGUAGGAUAGGUGGGAGGCUUUGAAGCACAGUCGCUAGAUUGUGUGGAGCCGUCCUUGAAAUACCACCCUGGUGUCUUUGAGGUUCUAACCCAGACCCGUAAUCCGGGUCGGGGACCGUGCAUGGUAGGCAGUUUGACUGGGGC